UGGGAUUCAUUUUCCAUCCUAUUCCUUUCUCUCCUCUAGUCAGCUGGUAAUUUGGGGGAUUGCUGGCUUUUGGCUGACCUCUCCAGCUUCAGAGUACAAUGGAGUUCAGGUUGUGACCUCCAGGAAGCCAAUUUGAGGGGCUCUGAUGUGAAAGGAGCCAUCUUUGAAGAGAUGCUGACCCCCCUGCACAUGUCCCAGAGCGUCAGAUAGGGAAGAGAACACACAGAAGAGGAAGGAAUCCAAACAUUUGUUGUGAUUUUCUUCACCUCCUCCCCUUCCUGAGUUAGAAGGAAUGGUUAUUAGACAACUUCCAUUUGCA